rnacentral:rRNA from 1 species
AUUGAACGCUGGCGGCAUGCCUUACACAUGCAAGUCGAACGGUAACAGGUCUUCGGAUGCUGACGAGUGGCGAACGGGUGAGUAAUACAUCGGAACGUGCCUAGUAGUGGGGGAUAACUACUCGAAAGAGUGGCUAAUACCGCAUGAGAUCUACGGAUGAAAGCAGGGGAUCGCAAGACCUUGUGCUACUAGAGCGGCCGAUGGCAGAUUUGGUAGUUGGUGGGAUAAAAGCUUACCAAGCCGACGACCUGUAGCUGGUCGGAGAGGACGAUCAGCCACACUGUGACUGACACACGGCCCAGACUCCUACGGGCGGCAGCAGUGGUGAAUUUUGGACAAUGGGCGCAAGCCUGAUCCAGCAAGGCCGCGUGCAGGAAGAAGGCCUUCGGGUUAUAAACUGCUUUUGUACGGAACGAAAAGCCCCGGGUUAAUACCCUGGGGUCAUGACGGUACCGUAAGAAUAAGCACCGGCUAACUACGUGCCAGCCGCCGCAGUAA